GCCCAGGAGUUGGAGGCUACAGUGAGAUGUGAUGGUACCCAGGCUGGAGUGCAGUGGUCCUCCUGGGCUCGAGAGAUCC
rnacentral:miRNA from 1 species